UUCUCCACGAACGUCCGGCCCAAAGAGUCGAAAGCCGAGGUCGCCAGUCUGGAGAGUGCGUCGGUCCGGGCGUUCUCCGACCUAGGGAUAUGAAAAAUUUUGAAAUAUCUAAGGCGCAUUACGAGAUCCUUCACUUUCUGAAGAUAUUUUGCCAUUGCUGGGUCUCGCACCUCGAAUUCACCUUUGACCUACCCCACGAUCAG
rnacentral:lncRNA from 1 species